AGCUACAAGAUAAUCUGGACUUAAGGUUUAACCUUACGGGACUUUUGAAUGGUACUGCAAAGUAAAGACUAAUCGCUAAAAGAAAUUGAGAAGAACAAUCAAGAUUAUAAGACAACGCCGAGUGAAAGAAAUUCGUGAUUUUAUUAACUAACUUUUUAUUACAUUACGAUUUCGUUUACCAGAUGCACGUGGGAUAUCUUCACAUCCACACAGAACGCCAAAUUAAUGUGAUUCAAAGGUGACGACAAUAAUAGUAUAAAUACUUAAAUACAGGUUGUCUGUAUAAAACGAGAAGCUGACGAAAAAACUGCGCUAAAGCCACUAACAUCUGAUAUUCAAAUUCAAAAAGGAAAUCAAAGUCAUACAUCUUGCUGUGGAUUUAAAAGUUUUUACAAUUUUGGGAACGCAGUGAAAAAAAACUUGAUAAACGGUUCGUUUUGCUUAUUAUUCAUUUUUGUUUCAUAACAAAACUGAAAAAAUCCUUAAAGAUGUCUAUUGUCCUGCCACACGCCGAGUUGAAGUACGCCAUGGUGUGCCACCUGGCGGUGCCGCUUGAAAGCGCUUUUCAGAUAAGCGCGGAGUCACCGGAAAUAGGGGUUGACGAUUCCGCAGACGGUCUUCUCGUGUCAGAACUUCUCCCGGAAUCCAAUGGGAUGUUAUGUACAGAGACUAAAUCGUUAUCCAUCAAGACGUAGUGGCCUGUGGCAGUGAGAGAGUAGGAGUAGUGGUUUGUUAUAGAAAACACGUCCAAUUCCAACAUUUGGUUAUAGAGGGCGCUGUUGAGGACAAAUAUGAGCGUUUCUAUGUUAUAUACGUCUUAUCGGUUUACAUGUUUAAUUUUUCAUGGAUGAUCUAAGAUGACGUGAAAUAAUGGCUUUAUACAGCAGAACAAUGUCACUGUGGAGCAAAUAUCCAUGCGGAUCACGGCACGACACUCAGAGGAAGACGAAGAUCGGAUCGCCGCCACUCAUUGGUACUCAUUGGGACAACACAGUAACUGUCCAUGAUUUGUGCUUUUGGCGCGAAAUCACAGGCGGCGGCAGACGACACACCGGAUAGGAAUUAAGACAUCUUUCAAGAAUGUUACCUUAGCUUUUCGAGCGGUAACCAAAGCAACGAUGACCGCGUGACUAUCGGACCCAUAAAACGCCAAAAUGGAAAUUUCGGUCUAAUGAAAACAAGUAAUGAACAUGUUUUCGUGCCAAUGACAAAAAAACUGUACACAUGUCUAAGGACUUCAAAAACUAAACAAAAUAUAUUAGCUCUAGCUUUGGUGUCUGCUACAAAAGUCUGAAAGUUACAGAGAAAUUAAUGUCGUAACGGUAGAAUCCAAGUGGUCCCUAUGAGUUAAUUUUGAUAUUUAUAGAAGGCUGGUGGUGUGGUAUAAUAAUGGCUAUAGUAAAUGAUUCGCCUGAUUUUCAAACUUUAUUUGAACGGAAUAUAUUAACGCUGACAGAGGAUCGAGACAGUGCGGUCAACACAUGUCAAGCCACACACAUAAGGAAAAGGGAUAUUGCACGUGACGUAAAGCUGUCGGAGUCCCGGAAACGUUUGUCUGUAUAAGUAUUUAAUGUCAAAGCGGACAGGGUCGAUUUUUCCGUCUAAAUAUGAACAUAAACGAUUCGUCGACUCGUUCCGCUGAAAAAAUGUUGGAACAUGACAGAUUAUUCAGGUUAAAUAACAAAGUGUUGAUAUUAUUAUAUGUUUAACUUUAUUUGAAUAUAUAGAUUAUACAUUUGUUGACAUGAAUCGCUGUGUAUGUUUCUACUUGUGGUGCUCAGUUUCGUAGAUAUUAUGUUAAUGCAUGAAACAUUAAUUGGCGCGGUAUGUGAUAUAUAUAAUGAAGUGUCAAUUGCUUAUAAUUCCAAACUGUUAAUUAGUGUAAGUAAUUAAGUCGUUUACAGUGAUUGAUCUACAUACGAGUCCUGAGUCCUGUACUUAGAGAAUUAAGAUGGGACUCGCAUGCAGAAUUUCUGGAAUUACUUGGAUUUUACAUUGUGACUCUUUCUUCUAGCAAUAAUUUGAAAAGGACUCGUGAACAUAAAUAGUAGACUGACCUCUGUAUUUACUAGAUCAUAUUAGCCUACGGGGUAUGCAUAAGACAUCCGGAUAAACAGUGGAAUUAUUCUAAUUUAAUACAAUUGAUUUUAUCAUAUACAUGUAAAUGAGUAAGGAUUUACGCUGACCACACACGACUUCAGCUUCAUUAAAAUGUACAAUGGCAACACAGGCACUUGAUACAAAAUUCCAACAAUGCAGUAUGUAUAAUAUAGUUACGAAGUUAUACAUUGACUGCGCGGCUGAAAUUUGUGACAUAUCCCUGUGAUUGGAACUAUUUAUUUUUCGUUUCACUUAGUGAAGAAAAUAAUCAAGUCACCGACUCCCAUGUCGAAAAUACUGUUCACCAUUUAAUACUGUUAUCUAAAGUACGCAAGGUUAAAGGUCAAAGUUUAAAACCAUAUCCCGAUUAUAAAGAUAGCGUUAUCUUUAUCAUAGAACGAACGUUACGGGGUGUCUAAAAUUAAAAGAGAUUAUUUCGCUUUAUUUUACUUUUCGGAUCAUAUUGAAAUAUAUAUAUACAUUUUCAAUAGCGCUAAAUAUACUAAAAUCAAUUUUGCGUAUACAAAUUUAAGCUUACAAAUCUUAAAACAACUUUGUAGGCACAUUUAAGGCGAGUCUUAUCGACUUAUUGGCCAGAGGGAAUAACAGUAGAAUUGGGUGGGGGUAUUUUCAUAAAUACUACAACAGAAAACAAAAUUAAUGAGAUUCACACUUCAUGUGUGAUACUCUUACGUAAAUCGUAAACAAAUCACCUUAUGUGCCAGAACGUGGACGAGGCUUGAAAUGCUGAAGACAGAAGAUGUUGUGUCUUUUACGGAAACGAGGGAUAUAUACACUUCGUCUCAUCAAUCACGCUCAUCUGAAAUCAUUAUAUUAAUUAACAUUCAGUUUUUAAAUUAAGAAUAUUUGGAUGAUGUUCGUUGUAUUAACCUAAAAAACAAUUGAUCAAAAUAUUGACAAACUAGGACAAUUCUCUUAGUGCAAUACAAAAAAAAUAUUUAUUUAUUUUAGUGACAUGCUUUCCAGUGAAAUAUUUCACAUUUCAAUAGAGGGUUUUGAUUGACAUCUCACUUUCCAGGAUCAGAGUUACUUUGUCAUUUAAGUUUAGGACGGUCACGUGUCGUGGAACACUGACGGAAUUUUUUAAACUCAAAUUCGGAAAUUCUAGGGAAUUUUGGUAAAAAAUUAGAUAAAAAAUUCUGGUAAAUGUGAAAAUUGUUUUGUGUUUUAUUUCUUCUGAAUUGUAUCCAGAAUGAAGCGGUGUUCGCUAUUGUGUACAGAUAGCCGCUUGUUCUGAUAAUGUUAACAGUCAUGUGAUAUUAUGGUGCCCGAUUGUUUUUCUAAAAAAAUAAAUUUUAAAAGUAUA